rnacentral:rRNA from 1 species
GUGAGGAAUUUUCCGCAAUGGGCGAAAGCCUGACGGAGCAAUGCCGCGUGAAGGAUGAAGGCCUAUGGGUUGUAAACUUCUUUUCUCAGAAAAGAAUUAUGACGGUAUCUGAGGAAUAAGCAUCGGCUAACUCUGUGCCAGCAGCCGCGGUAAGACAGAGGAUGCAAGCGUUAUCCGGAAUGAUUGGGCGUAAAGCGUCUGUAGGUUGUUUAAAAAGUAUUCUGUCAAAGCUUAGGGCUUAACCCUAGAUAGGCAGAAUAAACUUUUAAGCUAGAGUUUGGUAGAGGCAGAGGGAAUUCCCGGUGGAGCGGUGAAAUGCGUAGAUAUCGGGAGGAACACCAAAGGCGAAGGCACUCUGCUGGGCCAAUACUAACACUGAGAGACGAAAGCGAGGGGAGCAAAUGGGAUUAGAUACCCCUGUAGUCC